AAUGGUGAAGAGCUCAUUUGCAGAUUAAAGGCAAAUACCACCAUGCUCAUUAAUAUAAACUUAAGGAAUAUUCCUAGGAUGAUUGCUUUUGAGACAGGUCUUGCUGUGCAGCCCGGGGCAGCAGUUCUCCCAUCUCAGAAAGGCACUGCACUUGAGGUGAGCACAAUUAGACUAAGCCCCUGGGGCUGGUUUUUAUAAAGCACCAUCUGGCACCUUUAUGGAAACAGUGAGAAAGAGGCAGGUGCUAGAAUGGAAGCAGAGAGGCCUUGCAGGAAGCUUGCCCAUCACUUAGACUGUAGAACAGUCACUUGGUCAUUUCCAGUCCACCAGCUCCACUGAGGAUUCUGGGUGUUGGCUUCAAUAUUAAUCAACUAAAGGACUUAGGCAAGUUCUUUUUUGGUUUUUCUAGACAGGGUUUCUCUGUAUAGCCCUGGUUGUUCUGGAACUCACUUUGUAGACCAGGCUGGCCUCGAACUCCCGAGUGCUGGGAUUAAAGAAGUGCCCACCACGCCCAGCAGGCAAGAACUUCUAUCUCAAGUUUGUUUGUGUUGAGACCCACCUAAGUCAGGGAGGAAAAGCCAGGCAACUCACUGCCUAGGUAGGGAGUUGGCCCACAGUAAUGAUCAAUGGUUAGCUCCAAUAAGCUGGACUUCACUGCAAAGCCUGAGAUGGAAGUCCUGGAGACUCUGAGUCUCAACCUUCCUAAUGCUUUGACAGUUCCCAUGAUGUGGUGACCCCAACCAUGAAAUUAUUCCUGCUACUUCAUCACUGUAAUUUUGCUAGUUAUGAAUCACAGUGUAAAUAUCUUUUGGAGAUAUAAGUUUGUCAAAGGGGUCGCGACCUACAGACUGAGAACUACUUUCCUAGAGCGGUUCCCCCCAGGAAGCCAGCAUUCAAGGUUCUAGCUUCUAGCAAGGAGUGUGACAAUACUCUGUUAACCCAAAAUUCCUGUCUUAGAAUGCACUUGAGACCCAGACUAUGCAGUGCCACCACAGGUCUGGGGUUGCAGAGAUCUGAAAGUGUAAGUUUUCCUGCGGGUCACCGGCUUCCCUUAGUGCGAACAACAGAAAAGGAAGGAGCCAUAAGAACCUCGGAGAAUUCCUACUGGCUAGCCCGGAGGGGCGGAGCCCGACGGGUGGCCCGCCCGGAAGCGCGCCGGCGGGAAGGCAGCACAGAGCGCGCCUAGACUGGCGGGGAGAUCAGCGUGGCAGCUUCUAUCAGCCUUGCCUAAGCAGGCUUGCUUGGCAAGCUGGGACAUGUCUGGUCCCCGAGGACCUUCCAUGGGUGAUGGCUGCAGUGUUGGAGGGGCAGGAGCCGGAGGAAACUGCAGCUGCUGCAGAGGAUGCUGCAACAUCCACCUUGGAGGCUGUGGAUGCCGGGCCUGGAGCACCUUUUCUCCCGGCUGGGAACCAGUUGAACUUGGACCUACGCCCAGGGGGCUGCCAUCGGCUACAGUACCUGUGUUCCCAGCAGCCCCCACAGCUGCUGCAAGUGGAGUUUUUGCGGCUCAGCACCCAUGAGGACCCUCAGCUGCUGGAUGACACCCUAGCCAAGGUUCCGUGGAGUCUGCUGCGCCUUCGCUCCCUGGUCCUCAAAGGUGGCCAGAGCCGGGGUGCCCUGGGUGCCUGCCUCCAUGGAACCCUGACCACUCUGCCUGCUGGCCUGAGUGAUUUGGCCUGCCUGGCUCACCUAGACCUGAGCUUCAACAGGCUGGAGACGCUGCCUACCUGUGUCCCGGAACUGCACGGCCUGGAUGCGUUGCUGCUUUCUCACAACCAUCUCUCAGAGCUGCCCGAGGCCCUGGGGGCACUGCCCGCCCUUACCUUCCUCACCGUGACACACAACCGCCUAGAAAGACUACCCCUAACACUCGGGUCCCUGUCCACCCUUCAGCGUCUCGAUCUCUCUGAGAACCUUCUAGACACCAUACCCUCUGAGAUUGGAAACCUGCGCAGCCUCAGUGAGCUCAAUCUGGCCUCCAACCGGCUGCAGAGUCUCCCAGCUUCCCUCGCGGGGCUGCGGUCCCUGCGGCUCCUUGUUCUGCACAGCAACCUCCUGACCUCAGUGCCCACUGGCCUGGUCCACCUGCCACUGAUCACUCGGCUUGACCUGAGGGACAACCGGCUCCGAGACCUGCCUGCUGAGUUACUAGACGCUCCCUUUGUGCGCCUGCAGGGGAACCCUCUGGGCGAGGCCUCUCCAGCACCCCCAAGUCCCCCAGACAUAUCCCAGGUUCCAGAAAUGCCCAGGCUAUUGCUGACCUCAGAUUUGGACAGCUUCCUUGUGACUCCCCAUGGCUGUUCUGUGACCCUGGCCUGUGGUGUCCGCCUACAGUUUCCAGCAGGAGCCACCACCACGCCUGUCACCAUCCACUAUCGACUCUGGUUGCCCGAGCCAGGCCUGGUCUCUCUGGGACCUCAUGACUUCCUGCUUAGUAGUGUCCUGGAGCUGCAGCCCCAUGGGGUGGCUUUCCAGCAAGAUGUGAGCUUAUGGCUGCUCUUUGUCCCUCCACGAGUCCGUCGCUGUCGUGAGGUAGUUGUGAGGACACGGAGUAACAACACCUGGAAUGACCUAGAGACCCAACUGGAGGAAGAGGCACCCAAGAGGCUCUGGGCUCGCUGCCAGGUGCCCCACUUCUCCUGGUUCCUGGUCGUUUUACGCCCAGUAUCCAACACUUGCCUUUUGCCACCAGAGGGAGCACUUCUCUGCUCCUCAGGUCAUCCUGGGGUCAGAGUCACUUUUCCCCCUGGGGUUACAGAAGAGCCUCGGCAAGUCUCCAUGCAGGUAGUGCAUAUGGCUGGACUAGAGCUGAGAACCCUUCUGGAAGAAUCAGAGGCAUCAGUAAGCCCUCUGCUGUGCCUUUCACAGAGCGGCCCCCCCAGCUUCCUACAACCUGUCACUGUGCAGUUGCCCCUGCCUCCUGGCGUUACAGGCUUCAGUCUAGACCGCUCCCACCUGCAUCUGCUCUACCGAACACCCCUGACAACCACCUGGGAUGAUAUCACCACUCAGGUGGCACUGGAAUUCACCCACCUGUAUGCACGCUUCCAGGUCACGCACUUCUCCUGGUACUGGCUCUGGUAUACCACCAAAACCUGUGUGGGGGGCCUGGCCCGGAAGGCCUGGGAACGGCUGCGACUGCACCGUGUGAAUCUCAUUGCACUGCAGAGGCGCCGAGACCCUGAGCAGGUUCUGCUGCAGUGCCUGCCACGGAACAAGAUGCCACCCUGAGUCGGCUGCUGGUUCGCUACCGUGGCCCUGAACCCUCUGAGACUGUGGAGAUGUUUGAGGGUGAGAAGUUCUUUGCAGCCUUUGAGCGGGGCAUUGAUGUAGAUGCAGACCGUCCAGACUGUGUGGAUGGCAGAAUCUGCUUUGUCUUCUAUUCACACCUGAAGAACGUAAAGGAGGUAUACAUCACCACAGCCUUGGACCGGGAAGCUCAGGAUGUUCGAGGACAGGUGUCCUUUUAUCGGGGUUCACUUCCUGUGGAGGUACCUGCAGAGGCAGAGGCUGCCCGGCAGAGGAAGGGUACAGAUGCACUGUGGAUGGCCACCUUGCCCAUCAAGCUACCGAGACUCCGGGGUGCCCAGGGGAGUGGGCAGGGGACUGACUUCUCCUUGAUGCCUCUGAACCUGGGUGAUGCAGAAACUGGAUUCCUGACUCAGAGCAACCUGCUGAGUGUGGCCUCACGCCUAGGUCCUGACUGGCCAGCUGUGGCCCUGCACCUAGGCAUGCCCUACCAUAAGCUACAGCGUAUCCGGCAUGAAUUCAGGGAUGACCUGGAUGGCCAGGUCCGACACAUGCUCUUCUCUUGGGCUGAGCGCCAGACUGGACAGCCUGGAGCUGUGGGACACCUGGUACAGGCCUUGGAACAGAGUGAUCGGCGGGAUGUGGCUGAAGAGGUGCGUGCCAUCUUGGAGCUUGGCCGCCACAAGUACCAGGACAGCAUUCGACGCACAGGGCUGGCCCCUGAGGAUUCUACUCUGCCUGGCACCUCGGCUUCACAGACUCCAGAGUCUGCACAGGCCUAGGCUUACAGACUUAAUUAAGAUAGCUUUAAACUUGACUCGACCAGUGGGCAGAGCCCUAUCCUUCUACCUCACCCGUGUGCUCCAGUGCCCCAGCAUACAAAAACCCACUCACUGUCUAGCCCAAGCUAGCCUCCAACUCACAGUGAGUACAUCUCAGAGAUUGUUUUACAUAAAGGAUAGAGAGCAGGUUGCCCAUACUUGCUACCAUGCCAGGCCCUUCUGCUAAGAUGGGAGCAGAGAAGGCCUGGAGGGAGAGAUGGCUCAGUAGUUAACAACACUAGCUGCUCCUUCAGGGAACCUAGUUUGUUUCCUCUACCUACCUGAUGGCUCAUGACAAUCUGUAACUCCAGUUCUGAAGGGUCAGCCCCUUCCUCUGGCCCCCACAGACACCAGGCACACAUGUGUGCAGACAAGUAUGCAGGCAAAACAUCCAUACAAAUAAAAUAAAAGCUAUUUAUUGUGUGUGUGAGACAGAA